AACACUUCUUCUUCUGAGCCUUCUACCUUUCUUUCUUUCUUCAAUCAAGGUAAAUUAACUUCUCAGUCUCCUUUCCCAAACAUGCACAUCACUAUCUGCUUGUAUUUCUCCAUCAUCAACGAAUUCUUCAGAUUUUUCAUACCCUUUAACUAAUUCUGAUGUUUUUUGAUAUAAUUCGAAACAAGAUUCAAAUAAUAUCUGCUUGAUCAAAACAAUAUCUUAUCAUUUUGAUUUAGUUUAAGGUUCUAUUUCAAUUUUAGGAAAUCAAAGAGUUUUUUUAUCUUUCAAUUCUUCCGAGGUUUUGAUUGUCUCCUUUGUUCGACUUUUAAUUUUUCAGUGUCUCAUAAUACCAAUAUCCAAUUAAUUUCUAAGCAAGCGAGGUGAAGGAUGAUGCAAAUUUCGUCAAACAUGUACAUGCCUGAAUUUGUAAGCAUACACAACCUUAAUUUCAAGCAAACUAAUAAUCACAAAAUAGAUAUAAUUACUUACCAAUUUUUCUUCACAUUAACACAGGGAAUGGAGGACCCCACUUUGUUUCAUCAAUACCCUAUGGAUUCUUCAUCAGCAUUAUUCCAGCUCGAAGAUCUUGACUUUGAG
rnacentral:lncRNA from 1 species